rnacentral:rRNA from 1 species
AUUGAACGCUGGCGGCAGGCCUAACACAUGCAAGUCGAACGGUAGCACAGAGAGCUUGCUCUCGGGUGACGAGUGGCGGACGGGUGAGUAAUGUCUGGGAAACUGCCUGAUGGAGGGGGAUAACUACUGGAAACGGUAGCUAAUACCGCAUAACGUCGCAAGACCAAAGAGGGGGACCUUCGGGCCUCUUGCCAUCAGAUGUGCCCAGAUGGGAUUAGCUAGUAGGUGGGGUAACGGCUCACCUAGGCGACGAUCCCUAGCUGGUCUGAGAGGAUGACCAGCCACACUGGAACUGAGACACGGUCCAGACUCCUACGGGAGGCAGCAGUGGGGAAUAUUGCACAAUGGGCGCAAGCCUGAUGCAGCCAUGCCGCGUGUAUGAAGAAGGCCUUCGGGUUGUAAAGUACUUUCAGCGGGGAGGAAGGGAGUAAAGUUAAUACCUUUGCUCAUUGACGUUACCCGCAGAAGAAGCACCGGCUAACUCCGUGCCAGCAGCCGCCGUAA